rnacentral:rRNA from 1 species
AUUGAACGCUGGCGGCAGGCCUAACACAUGCAAGUCGAACGAGUGGCGGACGGGUGAGUAAUUUAUGGGAAACUGCCUAAUGGAGGGGGAUAACUACUGGAAAAGGUGGCUAAUACCGCAUACCAUCGGUUCUGCCGCGAUGGGAGUAGCUAGUGGGUGGGGUAAAGGCUCACCAAGGCGACGAUCCCUAGCUGGUCGGAGAGGAUGACCAGCCACACUGGGACUGAGACACGGCCCAGACUCCUACGGGAGGCAGCAGUGGGGAAUAUUGGACAAUGGGCGAAAGCCUGAUGCAGCCAUGCCGCGUGUAUGAAGAAGGCCUUCGGGUUGUAAAGUACUUUCAGCAGAGAGGCGUUACCUGCAGAAGAAGCACCGGCUAACUCCGUGCCAGCAGCCGCGGUAAUUC